GAUGAACGCUGGCGGCGUGCCUAAUACAUGCAAGUCGAACGAACAGAUAAGGAUCUUGCUCCUUUGACGUUAGCGGCGGACGGGUGAGUAACACGUGGAUAACCUACCUAUAAGACUGGGAUAACUUCGGCAAACCGGAGCUAAUACCGGAUAACAUAUUGAACCGCAUUGUUCAAUAGUGAAAGGCGGCUUUGCUGUCACUUAUAGAUGGAUCCGCGCCGUAUUAGCUAGUUGGUAAGGUAACGGCUUACCAAGGCAACGAUACGUAGCCGACCUGGGAGGGUGAUCGGCCACACUGGAACUGAGACACGGUCCAGACUCCGACGGGAGGCAGCAGUAGGGAAUAUUCCGCAAUGGGCGAAAGCCUGACGGAGCAACGCCGCGUGAGUGAUGAAGGUCUUCGGAUCGUAAAACUCUGUUAGCAGGGAAGAACAAAUGUGUAAGUAACUGUGCACAUCUUGACGGUACCUGAUCAGAAAGCCACGGCUAACUACGUG
rnacentral:rRNA from 1 species